UUCGUAGGUGGCCAACUAAGUCAGACGUGAAAUCCCUCAGCUUAACUGGGGAACUGCGUCUGAUACUGGAUGGCUUGAGUGUAGGAGAGGAAUGCGGAAUUCCAGGUGUAGCGGUGAAAUGCGUAGAUAUCUGGAGGAACACCGGUGGCGAAGGCGGCAUUCUGGACUACAACUGACACUGAGGAACGAAAGCCAGGGGAGCGAAACG
rnacentral:rRNA from 1 species